GAAGACAGCCCAGCCUCAGUUCCAGCUAUUUUACUCUUUGGGUUUUAUGCAAACUCUAGGGCAUUCUGGCACGAAUCAAGCAGCCAAGCGCAAACAAUCCACACCUUGGGGAAACAGUUCACCGUUCCCCAAGUCAACACAAGCACCUAUUAGUCACCCACUCAAAACAGAAAUGGCCAAUGAGGGGCCAGAGACCAGCCCUCGAUGCCAGAAAAGGAAGCAUGCUGCUUUCAAAAUCUCAUUCUUUAUUAUCACCGGGUUACUGCACACCGCCUCAAAGCCACCGCAGCAUGGCUUGCGGGAAAAUGUCACUGGCACGAUCCACGCAAGUUUCCCACACUUUUACACCCAAAUGUAACACACAGACCCACACAGAUGCACCCCGCGGUAACGUUACUUCCUCUGGAAACGCAGCCCGUUCAGUUUUGACAGAUACGUACCUCGUCCGCUCCGACCGACAAACCUGAGGUCAUUGAAUCUUGCAACUUGGUUUUUCAUGGCUGCGGUGGCAUUUCUCAGUUCGGCUGAGUAGUUUUCAUCAUUGCCUGCCAUCACUGUGACCAGAGUACCAUCUGGGACGUCCCCCAGAGCCACCACCUACACACCAGCCAAGGGACAAACGGAGGCAUCAGAAAUGUUACAAACGUUGGUGUAGUAAUUGCUGUAAAAUUAAAUGUCUGUUAAGUGAU